rnacentral:rRNA from 1 species
AUUGAACGCUGGCGGCAGGCCUAACACAUGCAAGUCGAGCGAGCGGCGGACGGGUGAGUAACGUAUGGGGAACUGCCCGAUAGAGGGGGAUAACUACUGGAAACAGUCGCUAAUCCCGCAUACUAUCGGAUGAACCCCUAUGGGAUUAGCUAGUAGGUGGGGUAAAGGCUCACAUAGGCGACGAACCCUAGCUGGUCUGAGAGGAUGAUCAGCCACACUGGAACUGAGACACGGCCCAGACGCCUACGGGAGGCAGCAGUGGGGAAUAUUGCACAAUGGGCGCAAGCCUGAUGCAGCCAUGCCGCGUGUAUGAAGAAGGCCUUAGGGUUGUAAGGUACUUUCAGCGGGGAGGCGUUACCCGCAGAGGAAGCACCGGCUAACUCCGUGCCAGCAGCCGCGGUAAUUC